GGAAAGCAUCAGGGACAGAGGUUUGAGUAUCAAGAUUCUACAAGCUGAAGGGAUGAUAAAAGCCCAUCAUCUCUUGGAAAUGAAAUGACACAGGAGGUACGAAGCAAAGCAUUAACAGUGAAGGUGUCCUCUGCUCCAGAUUUGACAAGGUGGCAAAAUGCUGCAAUGGAAGAGAAUCACAAGAUAAAAUAUUUAGGCAGAGCAGAGAUCAGUGGCUUCCUCUCUAGCACCAGCUAUGUUGAGACCACGCCAGGUAGUGGAGAAAAGGUGUCUUGUAUCACAGCCCUCCGAUGCUCACAGGGCUAUCAAGAGGGAGUUCUGAUUUGUUUGAGGAGGCUGGUGCUGCUGACCCUUAAUACCAGUUCAGUUGCCUGAUCUUGCUGAUUAAGUAACUCCAGUGGUCAUCUCCAAAGGAUGGUAUUAUCUCUUGUGCCAGAAAGGACUUCAGCUACUGAAAAGUUUGUACAGGGAAGUUUUGUUUUCUUGUCACAUGCAAAAAAGUGAACUGUUCUCACUUAGAAGAAAGCAAUAAGGACAAACAGAUGCUCAGCAACAGCCCAAUAAAUUAUCCAUUUUAUAAUUUCCAGUUACCCCAAAGCAUGGUUUUACUGAUAGAUGACUUACUUUUAUGUUUAGCUGCUUCCUCACUCCAUUGUUGCCAUGGUAACACCUCUGAAACAUUGCUUCUUUCUGAGGAGAUGAAACGUAAAGUGGCUGGAAUAUCUGAGAUUUUAAAUAUUAGAUGAAAACAACAGAAAAAUGGUGGAGUGAGUCAGACAUUACAGGCAGGUGACACCCACAAUACCUGCCAGUAAAUUGGGCUAUGGGGUAGAGCUACCUUUACUGCUCUCCUCCUAUAAGCUGAACACAGCAGACAGCUCUUAGGAGUUGUCCUGAACCUGGGCUAUCCUGAUGCUCAGAGGCAGGUGAGCACAUUUAUGACCAAGCCUGGCUAAAAAACUGGCUAAACUCUGCAAGGAGUAAGGAAUAGCAAAAAAUAAUUUACAGAAGUGCUGUAUUUAUUAUUUUCCAGUGAUAAACAUUUCUUGUUAAAAUUGGCAAUAACCACAAAUUUUCCUGGUAUUUUGCUGUAAAAUCUGUUAGGAAGCUAACAUGGAAAUACUGUAAAAAGCAUUCCUGCCAAUGUUUGAAAAUAUACCAACAUUUGCUUUGACCAUGUCUUUUCACUAAUGGUAACAAACAUCAGUUAUCUGGGUUUGGAGGGGGUUGUGCUGCAGAUGUGUCCAUUUUUGUAAACUUAAAGGGAACUUCUGUGGAGGAUUCUUAAUGUACUGCAGCUACAGUGAUGUCUCCUGCUACACCAACCCUUUU